UACGGGGGGAGCAAGCGUUGUUCGGAUUUACUGGGCGUAAAGGGCGCGUAGGCGGCCAGCACAAGUCAGUUGUGAAAUCUCCGAGCUCAACUCGGAAAGGUCAACUGAUACUGUGCGGCUAGAGUGCGGAAGGGGCAACUGGAAUUCUUGGUGUAGCGGUGAAAUGCGUAGAUAUCAAGAGGAACACCUGCGGCGAAGGCGGGUUGCUGGGCCGACACUGACGCUGAGGCGCGAAAGCCAGGGGAGCGAACGGG
rnacentral:rRNA from 1 species